CCUACGGGUGGCAGCAGUGGGGGAUAUUGCACAAUGGGGGGAACCCUGAUGCAGCAAUGCCGCGUGGGUGAAGAAGCACUCCGGAUCGUAAAGCCCUGUCAGCAGGGAAGAAAAUGACCGUACCUUGACAAGAAGCCCCGGCUAACUACGUUCCAGCAGCCGCGGGAAUACGUAGGGGGCAAGCGUUUGUCGGAGUUACUGGGUGGAAAGGGAGCGCAGGCGGCGCGGGAAGCCAGAAGGGAACACCCGGGGACCAACCCCGGGAGUGCGUUUGAAACUGCGAGGCUGGAGUGCAGGAGAGGUAGGCGGAAUUCCUAGUGUAGCGGUGAAAUGCGUAGAUAUUAGGAGGAACACCAGUGGCGGAGGCGGCCUACUGGACUGUAACUGACGCUGAGGCUCGAAAGCGUGGGGAGCAAACAGGAUUAGAUACCCCAGUAGUC
rnacentral:rRNA from 1 species